AAAAAAAAAAAAAGAAAAAAGAAAAAAGACUGGAAAGUAUAGUGGUAUAAAUCAAAAAGUAUCAGAGACAGAUCUCAAUCAACUUAGCAGUUUAUUUUGCCAAGGUUAAGGACAUGGCCGGAAGAAAGGAACACAGAUACCACAGAAACAGCAUGUGGUCGGGGCUUUUCUUCAAAGAUCACUUUGAAGCCUUCAGUAUUUAAAGGGGAAAAGCAGGCUGGAAGAGAAAGAGGGAGGAUGUGGUCACAUGACUGAAUCCACAUGUUGCAAGAGAAAAGGAGCAAGUAGGAGAACAGACAAUUAUGUAGUCGUCUCCCACUCAGUAAAUCAGCACUGAUCACUGAUAAGGUGAACAUAGAGUAGCUGACUGUGGAGACAUCCGGCCUUUUAUCUGUAGCUGUCUGCUUAGGAACAAAGAGAAAGGCAAUUUCUGGCCAUGACUCAGCUUUCAGCUUAAUGUUUUCCUUUUGGCAUCAUGAAACGGGGUCCUGAGAUUUUAUUUUCUUUCACGGUGGUUAAAUAAAUGGCCUUUAGAGUUUGAUAGAGUUGGGUCUGAUUAUCAACUUUAGCACUGUGUGCUGUAUGACAUUGUCUCUUCACAUCACUAAGUCUAUUUUCUUGUAGGUGAAAUAUGAAUAUUGACAAAGUUGGUAUGAGGAUUAAGUGAGAUAAUGCAUUUAAAGCACAUAGUCUCAACAAACAAUAGUUAUGACUGUUAUUAUGAUCAUUGUUACUAUUCUUGAACGGGCAGUGAAUACAUUGUGCUAACCCUGGACCUGCCAGAUAGGUGUCUUCUGCCUUUCAGAUUCAGGAUGUCUCCCGUAAAGCAAAACAAAAACCUAUCCUGACCUUCUUGGAUGAUUCAUAAACACUUGGUGAACAGUUUUUACUACACAUUUGUUCCCUGAUAGCCCCUUAGAAGUCUGUGGAACUGGCUGGGCGUGGUGGCUCAUGCAUGUAAUCUCAGCACUUUGAGAGGCAGAGGUGGGCGGAUAACUUGAGGUCAGGAGUUUGAGACCAGCCUGACCAACAUGGUGAAACCCCGUCUCAACUAAAAAUACAAAAAUUAGCCAGGCAUUGUGGUGGGGGUCUGUAAUCUCAGCUACUUGGGAGGCUGAGACAGGAGAAUUGCUUGAACCCAUGAGGCGGAGGUUGCAGUGAGUCGAGAUCGCGCCACUGCACUCCAGCCUGGGUGACAGAGUGAGACUCUGUCUCAAAAAAACAAAAAACAAAAAACAAAAAGAAAACUGUGGAAUAGUUGCCUGAGUCUUUGGGUGUGAGAUACUUAUGCAGCACAGCAGCUUCAAUACUGUGCUCUGAAAUCUCGGGUCUAGUUACUAUGGAAUGGAAAGCUGAGGACAGGGAGUAGAAGGAGAUUCUUCAGUAGUUUUUUGAACUCAACUUGUCCAUUCCAGCUAAACUUUAUUUCUUAUGCAACAUAAGUCUAUGAAGGCAAGAUUUUUCUUGGCAGCAUAAUUACUGCUACCUAAUAAGGGAAGAGAAUUUCCUUCUAAAGAUUCCUGCUGUUUUCUCAGCAGGUGGGAACUUUUGCACUCUGCAGCUGCUGGGUGCCAUUACUGUCCGUCCUGGGCUUGCUCUUUCCAUUCUGAGAUGGGAAUGGAAAAAUCCACAGGGAACAAUUGGGACUGUCCCGGAACUCUUGGACUUUGGGCUACUGUGUGCAUAACCUCGUGGAGGGUUCUGAGCAGCUCUGUCCAUCUACAUGUGAAGGAUCAAAGGGUGCCCCAGGUGUGUCCCUACUGACUCCAUAUAAGGCCCAGGGGAAGUUGUGCCCUGAAGAUAAAGGAAAUUAAGCUUCAGCACCCUUCAGUUGUCAGGGACUAGACCUUUCUAAGACACCAGGCAGAGGACCUAGCAAUGUGUGCAUAUGUUUCUUUUAUAAAUGGCAAAAAUAAGACAUUUUUCUAUUGUUUUCCAUUAAAGAUGGUCUCAAAAACUUUGUAAGUUUAGGCCCCACAAAUCUGUGUCCACCCUUGACAGGCUUCCUCUGGCUAUGCCUGAAGGAUUUUCCCUUUAUAUAACUAGAUAGUCAGCAGCCUCAACUCCAAGCCAGGGCACACUGGCAUGCCAGGGAUGGUGUGGGAAUGCAAGUAAAGAGGGGCAUUCACAACUCUGUUGGCUGCUGGAUGCAGAGAAAACCACAAGCUGGAUAAAGAGCAGCCUCUGGGGAAAAACAAGCUGUAGACCUGAGGUCCAGCAGCAAGAGUUCCUUCUUCAAACAGGUGGUUAGCAAGUGGCACCCAUCAGCUACCUGUUAAGUCUUUGAGAAAAAUUAACGACCUACUUUAUAAUUUAUACAAACAAAAAUACUGUCGCCUAUGUGCUGC
rnacentral:lncRNA from 10 species